CAUUUUCUCCGUGGCGCAUGCGCUUUAAGUUCUAUUUGACAACAUGGACAAGAGUAUUUUCUUGAAAUCAAUGUUAAUUGUUGUCGUCAUGUGUCUUUUGAACUGUAAUUGGUGCCAUGGAAUGAAGAUAAGUAGGGUUCUACAAAAAUUCGAAACAGUUCGUGAUAAAUCAGGGAGAAAAUUCGACUUUUCCGAAGACUGUUAUUCAAUAAGUACGAAACGAAACAAGAGGAAUGUCAUUCUUCAAGAUUAUAUAACAAGUAUAAAAGUAAGUGACUAUAUGGAGAGUAAGGAUAUGACACCAAGAUAUUUGCUUGAAAAAUUAGCUAGUUUUUAUAAAGUACCGUCCGAACAUGUUCACUUAAAAAUGUGUGGUCAGAAAGCUUUGUUCUAUGUGGUUAAGAAAGAAGCUAAAGCUAAUUCUGUGGAUGUGAAAGACUGGAUAGCCCCUUAUCUUGUCAGUGCAAAAUUGAAUGCUGCUAUUGCUGCUGUUCCUUCCGAAAUAGGCUUGACGGCCCAGAGUCAGAAACAGUCUAAUGAGGAAGAUAAGAGCGUAAUGGAAUACGUUCCUUACGUAGUCGUCGCCGUUAUUUGCCUAGUGUUACUGGCUGUCAUAUUAUCGGUAUGGGCUUUUACUAGACGUAAGAAGUCAGAAAAAUGUCAGGAGCAGCGUUUAGUCUGCGUCUAUCCGAGUGUUAAGCCGAAUCUGAUCAGUACGAGUCAAGUACAGCCAGAUUCGCCCUCACCCAGCCCUUUCAGUACUCCGAAAAUAAAAAACAGGAGUUUACUGGAAAGGCGGGGUUCCAAUGCAUCCUUGACUAUAAGCUUAACACCCCCACCACCCCAAAAAUCGGCUAUCAAAGAAUGUAGCGCUCAACUGUCUUUGGAGAGUAAUACUCGAUGCCUUUCCUUCAAUGAACUCAGCUCUACAUUAGAAAAUGUUGAAAGUUUAACGAAAGAAUUCUGGGAAAUACCAAUGAAUCAUCCGGAUAAGGCGAUUGUUAGCGGUUCCGGUACAUUGAAUCGCUAUAGGACAAUUAUUCCGAACGAAACAACGCGAAUUAAGUUAAACGAACAAGAUGGUAAGCCAGGAUAUAUUAACGCUAAUUACAUCCGGGGCUACAACGGUCAGAAAAGAGCUUUCAUAGCUACUCAAGGUCCGAUGCCGCACACGAUAGUUGAUUUUUGGAAGAUGAUUUGGCAGGAGAAAUGUGAAAUAAUUAUUAUGAUUACGAAAUUGGAGGAAGAAGCAAGAAACAAGUGUGAAAUGUAUAUACCAGAAACUGGUGAUGUACGUCAUGGUGAUUUUGAAAUUUCCGUCGAGAAUAUUAGCUAUCAUUCGAGUUAUGAGAUACGAGCAAUUUGCUUCAGAUAUAAUGAUGAAUCAAGAACGGUGAAACAUUUUUGGUAUACUGCCUGGCCGGAUCAGAAAACUCCUGAAACGGCAAGAGAUUUGGUUCAACUAAUUGAGGAUGUCAAAUCGGUAAAGAGGGACCAACCCGUCGUCGUUCACUGUAGUGCUGGUAUUGGAAGAACCGGCUGUUUUAUAGCGACUUUUAUAGGCAUACUGCAGAUUUUAAUGGAAAAAAAGCUAUUUCAAUAAAAAAAAGGGUAAAUGGAAAAGUUUAUUGAAUAUUCAAGAUAAUAAAAGAAGAGAACGUUAUAAAAUUAUCUAUACGAAAGGAUUUUUGUUACAAGAUGUAUAGUUUAUUCUUCAAAAUUGCUGACAAUUCAACAAACAAGGCAGAAAAAGGAGAUCACAUGACGACAUUUAUGUACUAGCUUUAGGUUUAAACUUCUUAGCAUUGAGAAAAUUGUCUAGGAAACUGAGAGUCAAGUAGGUUGGCUUAUACUUCUUUGAUUACUUUUGUUUCGACGUGAUAGUCUUCUAUUUUAUAGGUUUCGAAAGCAACCGUCGUCUAGAAAGAAGCCAUACGGAAGUUUUAGAAUCGUACGAAUCUACGAAUCGUACAAGAGACAAGAGAGAAAGAGAAAGAGAAAAAGAGAGAGAGACGCUUCAAUUUCUAUAAAUACUUUAUACGGAAAUCUAGUUCUGUUAAACGGGCAAAAUGAGAAGGAGAAAAGAGAGCGAGAGAAAGUUAAAAACCUCCUCUUAACAAUAAUACAAUAUUUACAAAAUCUACCAACUAAGACAGAGACCCUUUUCUUCUAAUCUCUAUCUUCACUUACAUCAGUUCUUUGUUUUUUCCUCUCUUACUACUUUUUUUUUUUACAUUAAAAUACUAAUUGAGAAAGAUAUUCAUUAAGAUUAAUUAAUAUGUGAUAUACAGCAUGCAUAUUCUCGAGUUGUUUUUUCCAAGAACCUUUAAUGACGUUUAUAUUAGUCUUUU
rnacentral:misc_RNA from 1 species